CCAUUCUCUUCCAACAAAUUUCCUUGCAAAAUACAACUAGAAACAUUUGUGUUGUUUGGUGCUCUGCCGUAGGAAUGUAUUUACCGUGUUUAUUAUAAAGGUAUCUCAUUUGCUUACGGCAGAGUAUCGUUCAGCAGAAUAUCAACCAACUGAGGACACCUCAACAGUGGAAAGGCAACAUAUUGGAAGCUUUUGCAUCGUAUUUUAAGAACUCUUCUUUUGAGGAUUCUUAUCCUUAAUCAAAGAUUAUAUUCUACAUUUUCCUCUAAUUGUUUCUUUAUUCUUUAUCUUUUUAGUUGCGGUUCACAAAUAUUGCAAUAAAGACUCAACAACAGUCCAAAGGUAAGAUCCCAAUCCAUUCUCUUCCAACAAA